CUUACGGUUUUCUUUUUUUUUUCUCCCUCAUAUUUUCAACAUUGUCAACGACUAACUUCUCUCUCCCUCAUUUUUUUCGGUGUUGGUAAUUGGAUGAAGAACGUCCUCGUCACUAUACAAAGAUGAAUCGUUGUCAUCCAUAAUUGAAGACGAUUGUCUACGUCUUUGGAGGUCCAAUGACGAAGACACUCUUCAUCUGGUUAUUGGCAUUGGAAAAAGGGUGGGAAAGAGAAGCUGCCUAGUGACGACGGUAGAGAAGGAAGGAACAAAAAGAAAGAAACCAUAAGAGGGAAAAUAUAAUAUUUCAAAAUUUAACUCUAGGAGAAAAUUAUUAGUUUUUUAAAUCUUGGAGAGAAAUAGAUAUGUUAACUAGUUUUGUGUAUUUUAACAAUCUACGAAUGAAUAUUUGAGUUUUCAAUAAUUAACCAGACACUAAUUUAGGAAUGUAAUGAACUUUGCGUGGGAAGAAGUCCUUUGGCCUAAACGGCUUGACAGAGACUUAUUUCAGUGUAAUUUAUUACACACUACUCUAAUUCAGUUUUCUAUAUUGCAACAAAAAGAAAAACCCUCUAGAUAAAUUUGCAGACGGUGUGUUUUAUACAACAUCGAAACGACUAUAUUUUAGAUAAACAAUUGGUUGAGUCAGACUCUAUUUUUAAUUGUUAGUUUUGACGCUACAAUCGAAUCGAUUGAGUAAAAAAUGAAAUGGUGAGGGUAGGCAAAACCCUUUUGAAAGAUACAGGGAGUGGACUCAGGAAAACACUCUCAGAAAUUCUAGUUUGCCCACUUUCCAAACAACCCCUUAGGUGAUUUAUCUUUUCUCUUUUUAUUCAUUGUCAAAACUACUUGUUAUGUUGAAACCUUUAUUUAUUUGUUUAUUUAUCUUUGGUAGGGUAUGUGAACAAAUUGGUUCAAUCAUCAGUGAUUCCAUUGGUGUUUUUUUCCUGGUGCAAUUUCCUAAAAUUCGAAACUGCAGGACCUAUACUCUAGUGGACUAAAAGCCAAAGGGUUGAUAAAAGUAUUUCUUUCUUUAUGCUUGAUGUUUAUUGCGGUCAUGUAUUUGAUAGAUAAAGGAUGAAAUUCCCUGCUUGGUGCCAAGGGAUGGAAAAAUAUACUUGAUUCUGACGAUGACAUGCUAAAAGAUAAUGCUGGUGCUUCAGAUGCUACAACAAACAAGGAAUGAGAUAUCAUGUAGCACAAAGGUUACUAGUUUUUGAUGAAAUUUAAUGUCUUAUUAAGGGUCAUAAGAUGUUGAAACUUUCUUGUUUCCGCUAUAACUAUCGUUGAAACUUCCAUAUAUACAUCAAUUUCAACUACUCAACCGUUUCCACGACAUGUUAUUCUUAUGGUUAUUGAAAAAACUUGUGAAAGAGCUCGCGAGAUCAAUGAAAUAUGACCCUUAUUUAUGGCAAA